rnacentral:rRNA from 1 species
UACGUAGGGGGCAAGCGUUGUCCGGAAUCAUUGGGCGUAAAGAGCGUGUAGGCGGCCCGGUAAGUCCGCUGUGAAAGUCCAGGGCUCAACCCUGGAAUGCCGGUGGAUACUGUCGGGCUCGAGUCCGGAAGAGGUGAGUGGAAUUCCUGGUGUAGCGGUGAAAUGCGCAGAUAUCAGGAGGAACACCUGCGGUGUAGACGGCUUACUGGACCAUCACUGACGCUGAGGCACGAAAGCGUGGGUAGCAAACAGG